CGGCGCGGCGCUCCCCUGCUCUCUGGCUCCGGGCUGCGGCGCGGCGGCUGGAGCGAGCCCCUGUCCCGGCGCGGGGCGGCGGCGGGCGGCCGGCAGGCGCUGCCUUGCGUGUGAGUGCACCUCACUCACAUAGCCAAACCAAGGAGCGCCUGAGGGUGCUGGAGAAUCUGGUAAAAGCACCAUUGUGAAGCAGAUGAGGAUCCUGCAUGUUAAUGGGUUUAAUGGAGAGGGCGGCGAAGAGGACCCGCAGGCUGCAAGGAGCAACAGCGAUGGCAGUGAGAAGGCAACCAAAGUGCAGGACAUCAAAAACAACCUGAAAGAGGCGAUUGAAACCAUUGUGGCCGCCAUGAGCAACCUGGUGCCCCCCGUGGAGCUGGCCAACCCCGAGAACCAGUUCAGAGUGGACUACAUUCUGAGUGUGAUGAACGUGCCUGACUUUGACUUCCCUCCCGAAUUCUAUGAGCAUGCCAAGGCUCUGUGGGAGGAUGAAGGAGUGCGUGCCUGCUAUGAACGCUCCAACGAGUACCAGCUGAUUGACUGUGCCCAGUACUUCCUGGACAAGAUCGACGUGAUCAAGCAGGCUGACUACGUGCCGAGCGAUCAGGACCUGCUUCGCUGCCGUGUCCUGACUUCUGGAAUCUUUGAGACCAAGUUCCAGGUGGACAAAGUCAACUUCCACAUGUUUGACGUGGGUGGCCAGCGCGAUGAACGCCGCAAGUGGAUCCAGUGCUUCAACGAUGUGACUGCCAUCAUCUUCGUGGUGGCCAGCAGCAGCUACAACAUGGUCAUCCGGGAGGACAACCAGACCAACCGCCUGCAGGAGGCUCUGAACCUCUUCAAGAGCAUCUGGAACAACAGAUGGCUGCGCACCAUCUCUGUGAUUCUGUUCCUCA
rnacentral:sRNA from 1 species